rnacentral:rRNA from 1 species
UACGAAGGGGGCUAGCGUUGCUCGGAAUGACUGGGCGUAAAGGGCGCGUAGGCGGCUUGUAUAGUCGGAUGUGAAAUUCCUGGGCUUAACCUGGGGGGCUGCAUACGAGACGUAUGGGCUUGAGUGCGGAAGAGGGUCGUGGAAUUCCCAGUGUAGAGGUGAAAUUCGUAGAUAUUGGGAAGAACACCAGUGGCGAAGGCGACUACCUGGCCUGUUUCUUGACGCUGAGGCGCGAAAGCUAGGGGAGCAAACGGG